UACGGGGGGGGCAAGCGUUGUUCGGAAUUACUGGGCGUAAAGGGCUCGUAGGCGGCCAACUAAGUCAUACGUGAAAUCCCUCGGCUUAACCGGGGAACUGCGUCUGAUACUGGAUGGCUUGAGGUUGGGAGAGGGAUGCGGAAUUCCAGGUGUAGCGGUGAAAUGCGUAGAUAUCUGGAGGAAUACCAGAGGCGAAGGCGGCUACCUGGACAAUUGCUGACGCUCAGGCACGAAAGCGUGGGGAGCAAAAGGG
rnacentral:rRNA from 1 species